UCGACGAUUAAGCACCUUUACGGUGUGUAUAAAGUGGCGAACGGCUGAGUAACACGUGGGCAACCUGCCCUUUGCACUGGGAUAGCCUCGGGAAACCGAGGUUAAUACCGGAUACUCCAUAUAUAUCGCAUGAUGUAUAUGGGAAAGCUCCGACGGCAAAGGAUGGGCCCGCGGCCUGUUAGCUAGUUGGUGGGGUAACGGCCUACCAAGGCAAUGAUGGGUAGCCGGGUUGAGAGACCGACCGGCCAGAUUGGGACUGAGACACGGCCCAGACUCCUACGGGAGGCAGCAGUGGGGAAUCUUGCACAAUGGGCGAAAGCCUGAUGCAGCGACGCCGCGUGCGGGAUGAAGGCCUUCGGGUUGUAAACCGCUUUCAGCAGGGACGAGGCCGCAAGGUGACGGUACCUGCAGAAGAAGCCCCGGCUAACUACGUGCCAGCAGCCGCGGUAAUACGUAGGGGGCAAGCGUUAUCCGGAUUCAUUGGGCGUAAAGCGCGCGUAGGCGGUUUGUUAGGUCAGGAGUUAAAUCUGGGGGCUCAACCCCUAUCCGCUCCUGAUACCGGCAGGCUUGAGUCUGGUAGGGGAAGGCGGAAUUCCAAGUGUAGCGGUGAAAUGCGCAGAUAUUUGGAAGAACACCGGUGGCGAAGGCGGCCUUCUGGGCCACGACUGACGCUGAGGCGCGAAAGCUAGGGGAGCGAACAGGAUUAGAUACCCUGGUAGUCCUAGCCGUAAACGAUGGACACUAGGUGUGGGGAGAUUAUACUUUCCGUGCCGCAGCCAACGCAUUAAGUGUCCCGCCUGGGGAGUACGGUCGCAAGACUAAAACUCAAAGGAAUUGAC
rnacentral:rRNA from 1 species